rnacentral:rRNA from 1 species
GGCGGCAGGCCUAACACAUGCAAGUCGAGCGGUAGAGAGAAGCUUGCUUCUCUUGAGAGCGGCGGACGGGUGAGUAAUGCCUAGGAAUCUGCCUGGUAGUGGGGGAUAACGCUCGGAAACGGACGCUAAUACCGCAUACGUCCUACGGGAGAAAGCAGGGGACCUUCGGGCCUUGCGCUAUCAGAUGAGCCUAGGUCGGAUUAGCUAGUUGGUGAGGUAAUGGCUCACCAAGGCGACGAUCCGUAACUGGUCUGAGAGGAUGAUCAGUCACACUGGAACUGAGACACGGUCCAGACUCCUACGGGAGGCAGCAGUGGGGAAUAUUGGACAAUGGGCGAAAGCCUGAUCCAGCCAUGCCGCGUGUGUGAAGAAGGUCUUCGGAUUGUAAAGCACUUUAAGUUGGGAGGAAGGGUUGUAACCUAAUACGUUGCAAUCUUGACGUUACCGACAGAAUAAGCACCGGCUAACUCUGUGCCAGCAGCCGCGGUAAUACAGAGGGUGCAAGCGUU